GGUAGGAAACCCCAAUGCUCCCUACUAGUCUGACUCACAUGAAGCAGGGACAGAGGUGAAACUGUAUCAGGAGACACGUCUGGAAUGUACUAGAAGUGGAUUCCUUGCUGUCUCUGCAAAGCCAUUCUGUUACUUCUCGAGAAAGGGGACAGCUGUUUUCGUCUCUGUGCUGGGAUCUGUCUCACCACCAAGAAGCAGAUUGUCCUAUGAGGAGUUUGGAUUUGGCCGCUUUAGAACCAGGGUCCUGCCCCACUACUGAGUCUUUCCCCUGCAACACAGAAGCUGGCCAACUCAAGUCUUGGACCAUUUAAUCUGUUUCAGGUCCAUUCCAACAGAAUGACCAGUUGUGUACAAAGGAGCUCCAUGGCUACAUUUAAAUAUUGACUGCUUUGAGGACAAGAAACUACCAAGUGGCAUAAAAGCCACAUGGUUAAUAUUUUGUAGGCUGUCUCCAGGAAGAUACACGCACAGCAUUCAGAAGGAAAAAGCAUCAGUUUAAACACUUUCUCUCUCAUCCCCAUCUCCAUUCAAUAAAACAGACAAGCCAAAAUAAAAUGAAACAACAAAUAAAACUCAGCCUGGACCCUA